ensembl:misc_RNA Metazoa_SRP Metazoan signal recognition particle RNA
GCUGGGUAUGGUGGUGCAUGCCUGUAAUCCUAGCUACUUAGGAGGCUGAGACAGGUGGAUCAUCUGAGGUCAGGAGUUCAAGACCAGCCUGGCCAACAUGGAGAAACCCCGUCUCUA